AUCCCCUCAGCACCCCACAGUUCAGUGUUGUAAACCAAGACUUAGGUGCUUGUACAUGGCCAGGACUUGAAUACACAGGUGGCCAAGUCCCACAGGGCUGCUCAGAGGUGACAGGUUAUGAAGACAUCAGACGACGGAUACCGAAAGCACUGAUUUCUCUGUAAUAAAAGAAGGGCAA
rnacentral:lncRNA from 1 species